UGGGGAAUUUUGGACAAUGGGCGAAAGCCUGAUCCAGCAAUGCCGCGUGUGUGAAGAAGGCCUUCGGGUUGUAAAGCACUUUUGUCCGGAAAGAAAUCCUUGGCUCUAAUACAGUCGGGGGAUGACGGUACCGGAAGAAUAAGCACCGGCUAACUACGUGCCAGCAGCCGCGGUAAUACGUAGGGUGCAAGCGUUAAUCGGAAUUACUGGGCGUAAAGCGUGCGCAGGCGGUUUGCUAAGACCGAUGUGAAAUCCCCGGGCUUAACCUGGGAACUGCAUUGGUGACUGGCAGGCUAGAGUAUGGCAGAGGGGGGUAGAAUUCCACGUGUAGCAGUGAAAUGCGUAGAGAUGUGGAGGAAUACCGAUGGCGAAGGCAGCCCCCUGGGCCAAAUACUGACGCUCAUGCACGAAAGCGUGGGGAGCAAACAGGAUUAGAUACCCUGGUAGUCCACGCCCUAAACGAUGUCAACUAGUUGUUGGGGAUUCAUUUCCUAGUAACGUAGCUAACGCGUGAAGUUGACCGCCUGGGGAGUACGGUCGCAAGAUUAAAA
rnacentral:rRNA from 1 species